ensembl:lncRNA
CCUGCUCCUGGACUGUGGUGUCUGCAGCACGGACAGACAGCGGGACAGAGCUGCUCUUUUCCGGUUACUUAGUUUUAGCUAGCUGAAGCAGAGGAGUUCCCUGGAUUCUUUUUUUUCACCUUUUUUUCUUGGAUCUGUUCAAACCUGCUUUAGACUGAAAAACACCCAGCCAAAGCCCGGGGGCUGACGCCUGUGACCCACCGGAGCUUGGGCCUCGGCACUUUCGGGCGCCGGAGGGACUGCUGAGAACCCGAGCGGGCCGAGCUACACCACAUAGAAAAGACUUUUCUUCCAGGAGCCCCCAUCGGGCCGCCCGGUUGGCUGAGUGUGUUGGGUCGCUGAAGCGAGUAAUGCCGAGAGCCGGCAGUGCCGAGGCUGCGGGUUCGAAGCUCCGGGGCCGGCGGUAAUCCGGUGUGCAGCGGCCGCGUUCAGCGGCCAGCGCGGCUUGUUCCUGUGUUGGGUAUCAGCGCCCUGGGGCCUGACCCGCACGGGCACUGUGAGCGCACCAGCGUCGGGACUGAAGUGCAGGCACUUCACAGACCGAGCCGAGCAACCGGGAGUCAGCCAGCUCUCUGUGCUCCUCUACUCUGAGAAACUGCGAGAAAAAACAAAAUCUCCCUUUUCCAUCUCAUCCAACAGAGUACCUUUUGUGCUUGGCAUGUUCAACUCUAGGAACCCUGCCUCAGCUGACACUACCAUUCCCAGCAGGAAACCUUCAGGGUAAUGAACAACACUUAUUUGGACAUCUGAGACAAAUGAAAUUAGGAUUAUAGGAUUAUAUGAAUUAAUUUCAGCUGUGAAGUUUUUCAAGUUCUUCACGUUUUUCAUAAACAUACAGAUUUGGUUGUUGACAGUGGCACAAGGUUUCAUUUGAAUUGCUGAGGAUGGCAGAGCUUCUGACUUUGCAAGGCAGCUGAAUCCUAGUUCAGUUUGAAGCUGCUGGAUUCUUACAGAUUUCACUGUCAUCAGGUUUCCAUCUGCUGGUUUGCUGGACCUGGCACAGCAGUUUUCAAGCAUGGACGCUAGUGGCAACUCAUGACAGUCCAUGAAAGACCUACUUUAAGCUUUGGGAUAUGCAGUGUCAUCCAAACUGGACUGGAACUAGAUGAUCUUUAAGGUCCUUUCCAACCAACCCAUUCUGUGAUUCUGUGAUAAUAUCAUCUGUGCAGUCUCAGAGCCACAACAGUUCAAAAGGGAAUUUAGACAGUACCUUGAAUCCCCAGUGCUCCAAAAAUUAUGAAGGUAGAUAAUUGCACAGCUUUUUGAUACUGGGAGACCAACUACUUUUCUUCAGUGCACAUUACCACUAAUCAGUUGUCUAGAUCUGGACCAAUCCAUAGAAGUGGAAUUACAGGGACAUUAGGAAGGUAAAUAAUGUUUAUUACACCAGUGCCUAAGGCUGAGAAAGUACAAAGCUCUCCCUAGAAGACACUGUACUCCCUGCUGCAAAAAAAGCUCAGAGCUGGAGAAAAGCAGCUGAAUGUGUUUGUAAAGUGAAAUUUGUGAGCAAGCAUGUAGUACCUUGGUGACGUUUGAGAAUACAAACAGAGAGAGGAGAGAAAGAAGAGAUGCUGAAAACUGGGAUUGUUGGAGUAACAGUCCCAGGAGUGGAAUGAGGCUGAUGUAAGAGAUUUUAAGCAUAGGGGCUGGAACAACCAACCAAUCCAGUGAAUGUGGAUGAAUGUUGAGCCAGCACUGCAGAGUGGCUCUGGGGGUGGCUGUCA